rnacentral:rRNA from 1 species
UGGGAAACUGCCUGAUGGAGGGGGAUAACUACUGGAAACGGUGGCUAAUACCGCAUAACGUCGCAAGACCAAAGAGGGGGACCUUCGGGCCUCUUGCCAUCAGAUGUGCCCAGAUGGGAUUAGCUUGUUGGUGAGGUAACGGCUCACCAAGGCGACGAUCCCUAGCUGGUCUGAGAGGAUGACCAGCCACACUGGAACUGAGACACGGUCCAGACUCCUACGGGAGGCAGCAGUGGGGAAUAUUGCACAAUGGGCGCAAGCCUGAUGCAGCCAUGCCGCGUGUAUGAAGAAGGCCUUCGGGUUGUAAAGUACUUUCAGCGGGGAGGAAGGUGUUGUGGUUAAUAACCGCAGCAAUUGACGUUACCCGCAGAAGAAGCACCGGCUAACUCCGUGCCAGCAGCCGCGGUAAUACGGAGGGUGCAAGCGUUAAUCGGAAUUACUGGGCGUAAAGCGCACGCAGGCGGUCUGUCAAGUCGGAUGUGAAAUCCCCGGGCUCAACCUGGGAACUGCAUUCGAAACUGGCAGGCUUGAGUCUUGUAGAGGGGGGUAGAAUUCCAGGUGUAGCGGUGAAAUGCGUAGAGAUCUGGAGGAAUACCGGUGGCGAAGGCGGCCCCCUGGACAAAGACUGACGCUCAGGUGCGAAAGCGUGGGGAGCAAACAGGAUUAGAUACCCUGGUAGUCCACGCCGUAAACGAUGUCUACUUGGAGGUUGUGCCCUUGAGGCGUGGCUUCCGGAGCUAACGCGUUAAGUAGACCGCCUGGGGAGUACGGCCGCAAGGUUAAAACUCAAAUGAAUUGACGGGGGCCCGCACAAGCGGUGGAGCAUGUGGUUUAAUUCGAUGCAACGCGAAGAACCUUACCUGGUCUUGACAUCCACAGAAGAAUCCAGAGAUGGAUUUGUGCCUUCGGGAACUGUGAGACAGGUGCUGCAUGGCUGUCGUCAGCUCGUGUUGUGAAAUGUUGGGUUAAGUCCCGCAACGAGCGCAAC